AAGUCGUAACAAGGUUUCCGUAGGUGAACCUGCGGAAGGAUCAUUAUUGUAGCACUUUAAUUCAUUUGUGAAGACGACACAAGUUUGUUGGGUAUCGUCCAACAUGAGAUGUUGAUAGAUUAAUAGAUUAAACAAUGGAGAAAAACUUUUGGCAACGGAUCUCUAGGUUCUC
rnacentral:misc_RNA from 1 species